UCCAAAUUCCAAACAUUUUCCUGUCACGCAGAAUGACUUUUCAUUUCCCUUGCUGCAGGCAGUUCCAAAAGGAAACCAACCGUUCUCUCCAUUGACCAAAUAAAAUCUGUGGGAGACGGUAUCGUCCUGGCAAGCGACGCGGCACGGCCUGUCUGGAUCCUCUGAAAAAAGAAAGAUCGAUGUUGCGAAUUGAUACGGACUCCUGAGGCGCCCACAACUCUGAAUAUUACACGUAUUAUAAUGUUAAUUCAUUCGAUCGUAGAUUUAGAUUACGAAGUGCCUGGAGUGGACUCGGCGAAGUUGUCGAUGGAACUUUUAAACAUUGGGCGGCUUUGCAAGCCACGUAACGUUUUUUGGGCCCGACACAAUUUUCCUCGGUAUUUUGUUGGCUGAAAAAUAUAUUCAAUGAACAGAG
rnacentral:misc_RNA from 1 species